UCAAGAGCUCCCAUACCUCGGCCUCCCAAAGUGCUAGAAUUGCAGGUGUGAGCCACUGCACCCAGAAUUGCCUCUUCACACUGUAAACACAAAAUCUUCAGGUCAUCAGGAAACGUGUGGGAAUUUCUCCCCACCAAAACCCAAUCAAUUGGCUGGGUGUGGCAGCUCACCCCUGUAAUCUCAGCACUUUGGGAGGCUGAGGCGGGAGGACUGCCUGAACCCAGAAGCUCAAGACCAGCCUGGGUGACCAAGUGAGACCCCAUCUCUAUUAAAAGAAGAGGCCAGUCACAGUGGCUCAUACCUGUAAUCUCAGCACUCUGGGAGGCUGAGGUGGGUGGAUCAUGAGGUCAGGAGUUCAAGACCAGCCUGGCCAAUCUUGUGAAACCCUGUCUCUACUAAAAAUACAAAAAAAAUUAGCCAGGCUUGGUGGCUUGCACCUGUAAUCCCAGCUACUUGGAGGCUGAGGCAGGAGAAUCCCUUGAACUUGUGAGGCAAAGACUGCAGUGAGCCAAGAUCAUACCACUGACUCCAGCCUAGGUGAAGUCUUUCCAUCUCAAAAAAAAAAAAAGAAGAAGAAGAAGAAGGAAUAAGAGGAAGAGGAGGAAGAAGACAAAAGAAGAAAGGAGGAGGAAGGAGGAGGAGAAGAGGGAAGAGGAAGAAACAGCGAACACGGAAGGAUUCUUCCCCCUCGAUGUCCUCAGAUGAUAGACAGGGCUUUGGGCUUCAUCAGGCUUUGGUUUGAUUUUGUUUUGUGGAGAGGGUGGCGGCUCUUUGGGUUUAUCACCUUUAAAUCAUGAUAAUGGUUGCCGCUCCCUUUCUUAAGAAUUAUACUACGUUAUUUUUGUGUGUCAUUGCAUUAGCCAGACUGUCCAGAAAAAACAAGUCAAAUGAUUUCAGUGAAACUGGGAUGUAUUCCUGGUUCUGACUGAACUUGAGUGUUCCUAGGAUCUCCUACAGCUACCCGGAGAGGAUUCUUCUCAUGCUCACUCAAGGAACCAUUCUACUGCUAAUUUACCAAAAGUUUCCUUCAGGUGUGGAUGUUGGCUUUCAUCAAAUGCUUCUUCAUAGGUACCAAAUAAUAUUUUCCCUUAAAAAGAACAACGUUUCCUGUCCCCUCCAUCUUUUAUUCAUCUUUUCCCUCACUGUUUUUUUCUCCUUUCCCAGCCAAAAACCGCUGCCCAUGGCCACAUCCUUCCUUCGUGAUUUUCUUCUCUCUCCAGCCUCUGAAAUGAGCGCUCUGGGCCGGCAGACACCGCUCCUUUGCCACCGAUCUCUCCUGGACCCUCCAGCCCACCCCGCCCGGUUCUGCAUCCUCCCUGGCCUGGAGAACACCCUUCUCACUCCCAUUUCAAGACACAGAGGCCGGGAAGGAGGUGCCACAGGGACUCCGCCUCCAGGGCCGGCGGGUUACAGCGUCUUCUCACCGCCUUCGCUUUCUUCCGGCGGUGAUGGAAUCAGACACCCAUAUUCUACUCCAGAGCCCCCUGUCUAGGUGGGAUGUUAAAGAAUUAGGGGCCGGGCGCGGUGGCUCACAUCUGUGAUCCCAGCACUUUGGGAGGCCCAGGCAGGUGGAUCAACUGAGGUCAGGAGUUUGAGAUCAGCCUGGCCAAUAUGGUGAAACCCCGUCUCUAAUAAAAAGGCAAAAAAAUUAUCCA
rnacentral:lncRNA from 13 species